rnacentral:misc_RNA from 1 species
GAUGAAGAACGUAGCGAAAUGCGAUAAGUAAUGUGAAUUGCAGAAUUCAGUGAAUCAUCGAAUCUUUGAAUGCACAUUGCGCCCCCUGGUAUUCCGGGGGGCAUGCCUGUUCGAGCGUCAUUACAACCCUCAAGCUCUGCUUGGUGUUGGGCCCCGCCGCCCCGGCGGGCCCUAAAAUCAGUGGCGGUGCCGUCCGGCUCCGAGCGUAGUAAUUCUUCUCGCUCUGGAGGUCCGGGUGUGUGCUCGCCAGCAACCCCCAAUUUUUUUCAGGUUGACCUCGGAUCAGGUAGGGAUACCCGCUGAACUUAAGCAUAUCAAUAAGCGGAGGA